rnacentral:rRNA from 1 species
CUGGCGGCGUUCUUAACACAUGCAAGUACAGGGGGUCCGGGGGCAACUUCGGAUAACCGGCGAACGGGUGCGUAACACGUGAACAACCUGCCCUCGUGUGGGGGAUAGCCGGGCUAACGCCCGGGUAAUACCGCAUACGUUCUUUUCAGGGAGUCCUGGGAAGAGGAAAGCUCCGGCGCACGGGGAGGGGUUUGUGGCCUAUCAGCUCGUUGGCGGGGGUAACGGCCCACCAAGGCGACGACGGGUAGCUUGGUCUGAGAGGAUGGCCAGCCACAUUGGGACUGAGAGACGGCCCAGACUCCUACGGGAGGCAGCAGUGGGGAAUCUUGCGCAAUGGUCGAACGACUGACGCAGCGACGCCGCGUGUGGGAGGACGCCUUUCGGGGUGUAAACCACUGUUGCCCGGGACGAACACACUUUUUCGAGUGUGCUGACGGUACCGGGUGAGGAAGCACCGGCUAACUCCGUGCCAGCAGCCGCGGUAAUACGGAGGGUGCGAGCGUUGUCCGGAAUCAUUGGGCGUAAAGGGCGCGUAGGUGGGCCGGGUCAGUCUUUGGUGAAAGCGCGGGGCUCAACCCUGCGUCGGCCAGGGAUACUCGCCGCGGCUCGAGCACUUGUAGAGGCAGGCGGAAUUCCGGGUGUAGCGGUGGGAAUGCGUAGAGAUCCGGAAGAACACCGGUGGCGAAGGCGGCCUGCUGGGCAGUAUGGCUGACACUGAGGCGCGACAGCGUGGGGAGCAAACAGGAUUAGAUACCCUGGUAGUCCACGCCGUAAACGAUUGGGCACUAGGGCGCUUGGGGGGAGCGACCCCCCCGAGGGCCGGCGCUAACGCAUUAAAGUGCCCCCCUGGGGAAGUACCGGCCCCAAGGCUUAAAACUUAAAAGAAUUUGACGGGGGGCCCCAACAAGCGGGUGGGAGCAUUGUGGUUUAAUUCGACCGAACGCGGAAAGACCUUACCUAGGCUUGACAUACACGGGAAACCCCUCGAGAAACCGGGGGCCCUCUUCGGAGCCCGUGCACAGGUGUUGCAUGGCCUGUCGUCAGCUCGUGUCGUAGAUGUUGGGUUAAGUCCCGCAACGAGCGCAACCCCUGUCUCUAGUUGCCAGCGCGUCAUGACGGGGACUCUAGAGAGACUGCCGGUGCCAAACCGGAGGAAGGUGGGGAUGACGUCAAGUCAUCAUGGUCCUUACGUCUAGGGCUACACACGUGCUACAAUGGCGGGGACAGAGGGCUGCGAGCCGGCAACGGCGAGCCAAUCCCGUAAACCCCGCCUCAGUUCGGAUUGUCGUCUGCAACCCGACGGCAUGAAGCUGGAAUCGCUAGUAAUCGUGGAUCAGCUACGCCACGGUGAAUACGUUCCCGGGCCUUGUACACACCGCCCGUCACGCCAUGGAAGCUGUGAGCGCCCGAAGUCCGUGUCGGAACCCGCAAGGGGCCAAGCGGCCGAAGGCGAG